UACGUGAGGGUGCAAGCGUUAAUCGGAAUUAGCUAGGGCGUGAAGCGUGCGGCUAGGCGGUUUUGUAAAGUCUGUCGUGAAAUCCCCGGGCUCCAACCUUGGGAAUUGCGAUGGAGACUGCAAGGCUAGAAUCUGGCAGAGGGGGGUAGAAUUCCACGUGUAGCAGUGAAAUGCGUAGAGAUGUGGAGGAACACCGAUGGCCGAAGGCAGCCCCCUGGGUCAAGAUUGACGCUCAUGGCACGAA
rnacentral:rRNA from 1 species